AGUGAACGCUGGCGGUAGGCCUAACACAUGCAAGUCGAACGGCAGCACAGUAAGAGCUUGCUCUUACGGGUGGCGAGUGGCGGACGGGUGAGGAAUACAUCGGAAUCUACUUUUUCGUGGGGGAUAACGUAGGGAAACUUACGCUAAUACCGCAUACGACCUACGGGUGAAAGCAGGGGAUCUUCGGACCUUGCGCGAUUGAAUGAGCCGAUGUCGGAUUAGCUAGUUGGCGGGGUAAAGGCCCACCAAGGCGACGAUCCGUAGCUGGUCUGAGAGGAUGAUCAGCCACACUGGAACUGGGACACGGUCCAGACUCCUACGGAAGGCAGCGGUGGGGAAUAUUGGACAAUGGGCGCAAGCCUGAUCCAGCCAUACCGCGUGGGUGAAGAAGGCCUUCGGGUUGUAAAGCCCUUUUGUUGGGAAAGAAAAGCAGCAGGUUAAUACCCCGCUGUUCUGACGGUACCCAAAGAAUAAGCACCGGCUAACUUCGUG
rnacentral:rRNA from 1 species